GAAUAAUCUUAUCGUCUGUGAGAACUCACAGCAGAGUUCCCCUUAACACAGUCUCAUUUGGACACAAGUUUUCAGAUGAAAAUUGUCACUACUGAUGAGCAAAGAUAGAGCUGGACAGAUCAGGCAACUUGCCUCUACCUCCCCAACGAUCGCAGAAUGUCACUUCUUCACCAUGAAGCCGAAGUUUAUCAUACCCCAAGAAACAAAGUGAGAGAGCUCCCUGCCAGGCCAGGAUCUGGAAACAUGGGUCUCCUGACUGCUGCCUCAUGUGCUCCAUGCCUGUCGAGGUUCUACCUGCUCACCCUUCAGGGAGGUCCCAGGAGAUGACAAACCUCUGACACAUGGUGCUUGAAAGCCACGGAACACUUCCACCUGAGGACUCCACUGUGUGCCUCGUUGGACCCUUCAGCAAGCUGAGAAUACAGCUCCUCCAUCAUGAAAAAAGAAAAAUCACAAACUCUGUACGAUUAGGAGAACAGCAACAAAGCUAGAACUUUUAUCUAAUUAUCAGUGUGUCCUCUUCUAGGAUGUUAAAUGUCUCCCAAAGUUUCAGAAUUUGUCUAGCAAGUAUUUAUCAUUUUGAAAACUAGAGGUCUUAGAAAAUAAUAAAAGAUGAUGACAAGUCAAUUUAGCCUGGGUAAGUGUUAUCUUGGCUAAUGAAAGUCCAUUUCUGGGAAAAUGAGACCUAGGCUCCUUAUAAACAUCAAUCGUUCCAGAUAAUGGUUAUAAUAGAGCUAUUUAUGUUUUUUACUUUCACGCCUGUGCUUAUACUUCACAUUUGGCAGUUCUAAAUGACUUAAUCCAUCUGUAAACUUUUAAAUGGAGAAAUCGAAGUACAGAGAAACACAUUGUCUUAGAUCAAAACACAUACUUUUAAAAAUCAAAUACUCCUUCCUUGUGUUAAGAAUAAAUCCCAAGUGCCUGAUCAAUCACUUUAUUUCCAGCUGUUAGUGGGCAAAGUAGAGAACUUCCUCAGCCACCCAGGAAGAAAAAUGUAGGGAGCCCUUAUCCACUGGCUGCCCAAUCUUACAAAGAUCCAUGGAAACUCAGUGGACACAGCUUGAAGAGUAUUUUCCAAAGCACAGAUGUUUUUCUCUGAACUGUGAACGCUGGCUGACUUUCCAUUUUCUUUCUCAGUGUUCAGCCGACAGUGCAUUUUUGGAGUGGCUGCCCCCUACAUCCUGGGGACAACAUUCAUUGCUAGGUGGAAAA
ensembl:lncRNA